GAUGAACGCUGGCGGCGUGCCUAAUACAUGCAAGUCGAACGAGGCCCUUUGUAUUCGUACGAAGGUGUCCUAGUGGCGAACGGGUGAGUAACACGUAGGUGACCUACCCCUAAGCGGGGGACAACUCCGGGAAACUGGAGCUAAUACCCCAUGUUCUCCAUGGUGUUAGAGGACCAUGGAGCAAAGGAGCAAUCCACUUUGGGAGGGGCCUGCGGCCCAUCAGCUAGUUGGUAGGGUAAUGGCCUACCAAGGCUAUGACGGGUAGGGGACCUGAGAGGGUGGUCCCCCACACUGACACUGAAACACGGGUCAGACACCUACGGGUGGCAGCAGUAGGGAAUAUUGCACAAUGGGCGAAAGCCUGAUGCAGCAACGCCGCGUGCGCGAUGAAGGCCUUCGGGUUGUAAAGCGCUUUUCUGGGGGAAGAGGAAGGACGGUACCCCAGG
rnacentral:rRNA from 1 species